rnacentral:rRNA from 1 species
UACGGGAGGCAGCAGUGGGGAAUAUUGCACAAUGGGCGCAAGCCUGAUGCAGCCAUGCCGCGUGUAUGAAGAAGGCCUUCGGGUUGUAAAGUACUUUCAGUCGUGAGGAAGGUGUUAAGGUUAAUAACCUUAGCAAUUGACGUUAGCGACAGAAGAAGCACCGGCUAACUCCGUGCCAGCAGCCGCGGUAAUACGGAGGGUGCGAGCGUUAAUCGGAAUUACUGGGCGUAAAGGGCACGCAGGCGGUUAAUUAAGUUGGAUGUGAAAUCCCCGGGCUUAACCUGGGAAUGGCAUUCAAGACUGGUUAGCUAGAGUCUUGUAGAGGGGGUAGAAUUCCAUGUGUAGCGGUGAAAUGCGUAGAGAUGUGGAGGAAUACCGGUGGCGAAGGCGGCCCCUGGACAAAGACUGACGCUCAUGUGCGAAAGCGUGGGGAGCAAACAGGGAUUUUAGAUACC